GGGUUGUGAGGUUAAGCGACUAAGCGUACACGGUGGAUGCCCUGGCAGUCAGAGGCGAUGAAGGACGUGCUAAUCUGCGAUAAGCGUCGGUAAGGUGAUAUGAACCGUUAUAACCGGCGAUUUCCGAAUGGGGAAACCCAGUGUGUUUCGACACACUAUCAUUAACUAAAUCCAUAGGUUAAUGAGGCGAACCGGGGGAACUGAAACAUCUAAGUACCCCGAGGAAAAGAAAUCAACCGAGAUUCCCCCAGUAGCGGCGAGCGAACGGGGAGCAGCCCAGAGCCUGAAUCAGUGUGUGUGUUAGUGGAAGCGUCUGGAAAGGCGCGCGAUACAGGGUGACAGCCCCGUACACAAAAAUGCACAUGCUGUGAGCUCGAUGAGUAGGGCGGGACACGUGGUAUCCUGUCUGAAU
rnacentral:rRNA from 1 species